CUUGAUGAAUCGAGCAUUUAUUUUGAAACAAGUAAGUCUUUAAAAACAAAAUUUCUUAAAAUAGCUUAGAUUCCUGGCACGACUAUAGAAAUAAAAUUAGGUUGAUUGCCAAACUACCCAGGGACUCGGCAGGCCCGAGAUUGUGUGGCAGUCCAGUUCCUGAGAACAACUCCCUUCUCCAUAGUCUGAAUAGUGAGGUGUUCUUCUUCCUCCUCCUCAUUUAUUGAUCUACAAUCUAUGUCUUCUUCCUCCUGAAACAGAUUCCUCAACCCAGCUAAUGCUUUUUCUUCUGCAGUUCCCCAUAUUGUAUCAGCUUGGUGAAAAUUUUGACCUAGAUGUGGC
rnacentral:lncRNA from 1 species